rnacentral:rRNA from 1 species
GACGAACGCUGGCGGCGUGCCUAAUACAUGCAAGUAGAACGCACAGUUUAUACCGUAGCUUGCUACACCAUAGACUGUGAGUUGCGAACGGGUGAGUAACGCGUAGGUAACCUGCCUGGUAGCGGGGGAUAACUAUUGGAAACGAUAGCUAAUACCGCAUAAUAUUGAUUAUUGCAUGAUAAUUGAUUGAAAGAUGCUAUUGCAUCACUACCAGAUGGACCUGCGUUGUAUUAGCUAGUAGGUGAGGUAACGGCUCACCUAGGCGACGAUACAUAGCCGACCUGAGAGGGUGAUCGGCCACACUGAGACUGAGACACGGCCCAGACUCCUACGGGAGGCAGCAGUAGGGAAUCUUCGGCAAGGGACGAAAGUCUGACCGAGCAACGCCGCGUGAGUGAAGAAGGUUUUCGGAUCGUAAAGCUCUGUUGUAAGAGAAGAACGGGUGUGAGAGUGGAAAGUUCACACUGUGACGGUAUCUGACCAGAAAGGGACGGCUAACUACGUG